rnacentral:rRNA from 1 species
UUGUCUCUCUUGAGUGGAUCCUGAGUACGACGGAGCACGUGAAAUUCCGUCGGAAUCUGGGAGGACCAUCUCCUAAGGCUAAAUACUCUCUAGUGACCGAUAGUGAACCAGUACCGUGAGGGAAAGGUGAAAAGCACCCCGGAAGGGGAGUGAAAUAGAACCUGAAACCGUGUGCUUACAAGUAGUCAGAGCCCGUUAAUGGGUGAUGGCGUGCCUUUUGUAGAAUGAACCGGCGAGUUACGAUUUGAUGCAAGGUUAAGCAGUAAAUGUGGAGCCGUAGCGAAAGCGAGUCUGAAUAGGGCGUUUAGUAUUUGGUCGUAGACCCGAAACCAGGUGAUCUACCCUUGGUCAGGUUGAAGUUCAGGUAACACUGAAUGGAGGACCGAACCGACUUACGUUGAAAAGUGAGCGGAUGAACUGA